rnacentral:rRNA from 1 species
UGGGGAAUCUUGCGCAAUGGGCGAAAGCCUGACGCAGCGACGCCGCGUGUGGGAGGAAGCUCUUCGGGGUGUAAACCACUGUUGCCCGGGACGAACAGCUCGUUUAGACGAGCCUGACGGUACCGGGUGAGGAAGCACCGGCUAACUCUGUGCCAGCAGCCGCGGUAAUACAGAGGGUGCGAGCGUUGUCCGGAAUCACUGGGCGUAAAGGGCGCGUAGGUGGUAACCUAAGCGUGCGGUGAAAGCCCGAGGCUCAACCUCGGGUCGGCCGUGCGAACUGGGUCACUCGAGCAGAAUAGAGGCAGGUGGAAUUCCGGGUGUAGCGGUGGAAUGCGUAGAGAUCCGGAAGAACACCGGUGGCGAAGGCGGCCUGCUGGGUUCUGGCUGACACUGAGGCGCGACAGCGUGGGGAGCAAACAG